AACGAACGCUGGCGGCGCGCUUAACACAUGCAAGUCGAACGAGAAGGCGUAGCAAUACGCUUGUACAGUGGCGAACGGGUGAGUAAUACGUGGGCGACCUACCCUCGAGUGGGGAAUAACCCGCCGAAAGGCGGGCUAAUGCCGCGUACGCUUCCAUCUUUAUGGAGGUGGAAGGAAAGCCGUGCCGUGGGCACGGCGCUCAAGGAUGGGCUCACGUCCUAUCAGCUUGUUGGAGGGUAACGGCCUACCAAGGCUCCGACGGGUAGCUGGUCUGAGAGGACGAUCAGCCACACUGGCACUGCGACACGGGCCAGACUCCUACGGGAGGCAGCAGUGAGGAAUAUUGCGCAAUGGGCGAAAGCCUGACGCAGCGACGCCGCGUGGGGGAGUGAAGGUCUUCGG
rnacentral:rRNA from 1 species